UACGUAGGGUGCAAGCGUUAUCCGGAUUUACUGGGUGUAAAGGGCGAGUAGACGGUUUUGUAAGUCAUAUGUGAAAACUUAGAGCUCAACUUUAAGACUGCAUCUGAAACUGUAGAACUAGAGUGCAGGAGAGGUAAGCGGAAUUCCUAGUGUAGCGGUGAAAUGCGUAGAUAUUAGGAGGAACACCAGUGGCGAAGGCGGCUUGCUGGGCCAUAACUGACGCUGAGACACGAAAGCGUGGGGAGCAAAUAGC
rnacentral:rRNA from 1 species